rnacentral:rRNA from 1 species
AUUGAACGCUGGCGGCAUGCCUUACACAUGCAAGUCGAACGGUAACAGGUCUUCGGAUGCUGACGAGUGGCGAACGGGUGAGUAAUACAUCGGAACGUGCCUAGUAGUGGGGGAUAACUACUCGAAAGAGUGGCUAAUACCGCAUGAGAUCUACGGAUGAAAGCAGGGGAUCGCAAGACCUUGUGCUACUAGAGCGGCCGAUGGCAGAUUAGGUAGUUGGUGGGUUAAAAGCUUACCAAGCCGACGAUCUGUAGCUGGUCUGAGAGGACGAUCAGCCACACUGGGACUGGGACACGGCCCAGACUCCCACGGGAGGCAGCAGUGGGGAAUUUUGGACAAUGGGCGCAAGCCUGAUCCAGCAAUGCCGCGUGCAGGAUGAAGGCCUUCGGGUUGUAAACUGCUUUUGUACGGAACGAAAAGCCCCGGGUUAAUACCCUGGGGUCAUGACGGUACCGUAAGAAUAAGCACCGGCUAACUACGUGCCAGCAGCCGCCGUAA